rnacentral:miRNA from 15 species
CAGGACAGGGCAGUGUUUUAUU